GGCUACAAGAUCCAUCCUGUAAAUAUAGAUAUAUUUACAAUAUUUCUAACGUAUCAUCAUUCUCUCAUCCUUCCGUCCUUGACAUGGCGCAGUUGGUAGGACCAGAAAGAGGCGUUAGACCCAGCAAGAGGUAAAGGCAUCGAGGCGGACUAAAUUUCAAAAGAAUAAGAGGAAGAAAAGGAUAAGCUGCCUAUUAUUGAAGAAAUUUGAGGCAUACUUUCUACCAAAAGAAAAUCUUUCAUAUGAAAGAUAUAUUUUCUUCACAAUGAGACAGAAGGCGGAACAAUCCUUGGAACAAUUCGUGGUCGAACUGACAGAACAGAAGUGCAAAUUGGGAGAUCUUCAAAACAGCUUAAUCAAAUAAUGACUCGUUGAUGAUGGAGCUUCCUACUAAUAGCCAUACAACAACGCAAGAUCAUGGAGAAGACGAAAAUUCAAAGGAAGGAAAUGGAAGGAAUGAUAUGGCGACGACAGUAAAUGCGAUAAAAUUCAAAAAAAGGUUAGGGCAGAAACAGGUAGAGGGGGAUUAAAGGAUGUCUACCAGGAUCUUAUCACAUUAAAUUAAAAAAAAAUACGCAGCCAAUAAUACAUCUGACACGUAGAAUAGCUCUUUCGCUGUUACCAAGACUGAAAGAAUAUUUUAAAAAACUAUAAGAAAAGAUAAUUGAGAAGGUGAAUAAAGCAACAAAUUGGUAAAUGCUCUAGUUAUAACUCGUAAACCAAACGACAGUCUAAGAAUUUGUUUGGAUUUGAAAGAUUUAAAUAAUAACAUCAAGCGUAAACACUGUUUAAUACCAACGCUUGAAAAAAUCACUGUCAAAUUGGCAGGAGCUAAGGUCUUUAACACAUGCGACUCUAUACCACUAAACAAAAUUACUAUACAGUAUAAAGUCGACGCUGGAGGCUUUUAAGAAAGAUUUAGGCAAACUUUUGAAAAGUGUAAAGGAUGCGAGAUACACAUAGAUGACAUAAUCAUCUAUGGAAAGAAUAGAACGAAACAUGACGAGAGGUUAAGGGGAGUGCUGGAAACGGCAAAGGAAAAUAAAGUCAAAUUCAAUUUAAGUAAAUGCAUUAGGCAAAAAUAGUAUUAAGUAUAUGGGGCAUGUCAUAAAUGAAAAUGGUAGUUUUACCAGACGAAAAUAAAAUUGUAGGUAUCAAGAAAUUGCAAACUCCAAAGGACAAGGAUGGCGUACAACGAGCGUAAUGCUAACAUAUGUGAGCAAAUUCAUACCAAAAUUUUCGUAUGAAAUUACAGCACUGAGAAACCUUUUAAAGGAAGAUGUAAUUUUUAUGCGGGGCCCAAAACAAAAGGCAUUAAAGUCUUUGAAAAAUAAAUUAAUAACUAAUCCCGUGUUGUAAUUCUUUGAUAUUAACAAGGACACAGUAAUUUCAGUACAUAGUUCUAUAGCAGGCGUGGGAGUUUUAUUACAAACAAUUUACCAUGUGCGUAUGCCUCCAAGGCAUUAACAAAAAUUCAACAGAGAUAUGUGCAAAUAGAAAAAGAAAUAGCAGCCAUAUGGUUCGGAUUAAGGCUCCUGACUACUCAGCCAAGAACUCUGCGUUGACGGUGGCGAUACAGAAUCAGACGGCGGUCUGGCGAAACCGGUAGCCACACACUUAAGCACGAGCCCGUGUGCUCGCCUGUGGCGCACCGAGAAUGAAUGAGACAGCGAGUUCCUUCUCACAUUAAUAACUUGUUUCAAGCGACCGAAAAUGCUUUCUCGGCAAUCUUGGCCGCUAGGCAUCAAUAAGGGGAGAGAGGCAUUCUAAUAUGUAAGUUUUAAUAAAUUAUAAUAAUAGUCCCUCUUUUUAAUCCAGAAUAAUAUAAAUCAUGU